rnacentral:rRNA from 1 species
AUUGAACGCUGGCGGCAUGCCUUACACAUGCAAGUCGAACGGCAGCACGGAGCUUGCUCUGGUGGCGAGUGGCGAACGGGUGAGUAAUAUAUCGGAACGUACCCAAGAGUGGGGGAUAACGUAGCGAAAGUUACGCUAAUACCGCAUACGAUCUAAGGAUGAAAGUGGGGGAUCGCAAGACCUCAUGCUCCAGGAGCGGCCGAUAUCUGAUUAGCUAGUUGGUGAGGUAAAGGCUCACCAAGGCAUCGAUCAGUAGCUGGUCUGAGAGGACGACCAGCCACACUGGAACUGGGACAAGGUCCAGACUCCUACGGGAGGCAGCAGUGGGGAAUUUUGGACAAUGGGGGCAACCCUGAUCCAGCAAUGCCGCGUGAGUGAAGAAGGCCUUCGGGUUGUAAAGCUCUUUUGUCAGGGAAGAAACGGUGAAGGCUAAUAUCCUUUGCUAAUGACGGUACCUGAAGAAUAAGCACCGGCUAACUACGUGCCAGCAGCCGCCGUAAGAC